rnacentral:lncRNA from 1 species
UUGUGGACAAUUCCGUAGGCCAAGCGAGUGCAAGGCAAAGGGAAUUAAUCACAGCCAGAGCGGGAGGUCACUGACUGGCUCCCGAAACAUCACGGUUGGGUCAUGCGUCUCGGGGCCACGGCUUCAUACACACACCACCACACUGUCUUAUCCCCCGUCUGCUUUUUCCCCGGUCCAAGAAGAGUCUAGCUCAACCCCAGACACAUACGCGUGCUCACACACACUCACUCACGCUCAAACACAGUGAAAUAGGGCGAUUCAGAGGACGGAAACGUUCUGUGAAGUGUACACAGCGUGCUUUCUGUGGAUGGCCUGCGUGUCUUCAGCACCGGCACAAUCCUCUAAGGACCUGGCCUGACUCAUCUGCGUGUGUGACAGGUAAGAAAAGAUACCAAACAACUCACAGUAAGACAAGCAGAGAGCUGCCCUGCACAGCGCCCUAUUUUUUUUUCCCCCUUUCUUUUUUGCGGCGACUAGAUAUUCAUUUUCACACCUCACUUCUCCAUAUUUAUGAUUGCCCAUGAGAACAUUUUUUAUUUAUGUUGACUUCUUUCAUAAACUGGACAGCGGUUUCUUUUUUUUUCUCUCUUUCUCCAUGUGUGUCAAAACAAUCUCUGAUUUAUAAUUUAUGUGAUUUAUG